rfam:Cavia porcellus supercont2_8 genomic scaffold, whole genome shotgun sequence.
GGGGAUUUAGCUCAGCGGCAUAAGCAUCUGCCUUGCAAGCACGUAGUCGUGAGUUCGAUCCCCAGUACCCCCCA